AUUAAAGUGGCAGAUUUAUGCGAGGAAUUUAA
rnacentral:tRNA from 1 species